GCCAAGAUUUUUGAAGACAUCCAACUUCCAUUUUUUGUUUUCUUUUUCCUUCUUCAAUUUGCAUAGAACUUCUAAGAGAGAGUUUGGAAGAAGAAGAGAAAUUUUACUAGAAUUUUGAGGUUGAAGAAGAGGAGGAGAACUCAAGCAAAGUGUAACCAUGGCUGAAUUUUAGUUCAUUCUGCACAUCACUGGUUUUUAAUUCGGUUUGAACACUUCAAAAGGAAUUAAGAGGGCAGUUGGUUUUCACUCGAAAUCAGGAGGUCUCUGGUUUUUCUUGUACUUCAGAGUGUAUCAGUGGAGUUAGAAUCUCUAUUUGGAACAAGUUAAAGAGGUCGUGUGCGCGCGAUUCUGGAAGUGGUUCUGUUUUGAGGGUUAUAUGUGUUUAUGCACGGGGAAUCAGAUUUAUAUAUCUUCAGGCCGAGAAGAAUUAAACCGAGCUUAUAGACCAAGGAUCUAGCCCAAGACUGUGAGUGACAAAACCAACUUUGAAAUAUUUUCCAUAACUGUUAUUAUGAUUGAAUGCGAUAAAUGUUUAUUUACGAAGCCAUGAAAGAUAUUUGAAUUUCAUGACUAUUUUCAAGUAUACAUUUGGAGACUAGAUUUCUUAAAGAAAUUUAUGCUAGCACGUAGAUAUUAAAUGUUUGGAAAGUAUUUAAACCACAAUAUUUUAAGCAAAGCAUGAAUUAGUAUGAAGUUUUGUUUUAAGAACUACAAUUUUCCACGAAAGAGCUGGGUAAAGUUCGAGCUUUGUGUAAAAUUUAUAAGCAGGCAUGUUUUAAUAUUUUAUGAUGAUUUAUGAAAUUUUCAUUAACUACAUGACUGAGAUCUUGAGCCUGAGGCUAGAGAUUACCGUGUGCACACUGGUUAGAUUUCGUUGUUGACGUUGAGUGUACUCCGUAACAACGAUGCUGUCGUGAGUGCUGGGCGGGCCCCACUACGACAAAGACGAUGGGAGUGCUGGGCGGGCCCCACUACAUCGUAGUGCUUGUAAACGUUGUUGUACUAGGUGUACCCUACACAACGUAGAUUCGUCAUGUUAGUUAAAAUGCUUCGAUAUACUUGAUAUGCCUUGCUAGAUUUCAAUGAUGAACAUGCUGAGUAUUUAAGGAAGCUAUUCUUACUAUUACACAUUUACAUUUACGACUUGUAUAAACAGAUUUAUAUGUGUAAAGUUUUCACGUGCUCUUAUCUUUAAAUUCAUAGUUUUAAACUGAGUCACUCACUGAGCUUCAUAGCUCACCCUUUCCAAAAUGUUUUACUCAUU